AUUGAACGCUGGCGGCAUGCUUUACACAUGCAAGUCGAGCGGCAGCGCGGGGGCAACCUGGGGGGCGCGCGGGGAAAGGGGGGGAAUUGCACGGGAACGAACCCCCGAGGGGGGGGAAACCAAGCGAAGGUAGGGCUAAUACCACCGGAUAGCUGCGGGGGAAGCAGGGGGCCCGGGGGGGGCUUCCGGCGGUGGGGGGGGCGGUUGUCGUUUUAGCUAGUUGGGGGGGUAAAGGGUUACAAAGGCGACGAUCGGUGGCUGGUCUGAGAGAGGGAUCAGCCACACUGGGACUGAGACAGCGCCCAGACUCCUACGGGAGGCAGCAGUGGGGAAUUUUGGACAAUGGGGGCAACCCUGAUCCAGCCAUGCCGCGUGAGUGAAGAAGGCCUUCGGGUUGUAAAGCUCUUUCGGACGGAACGAAAUGGGCGGGACUAAUACUCCUGUCUGAUGACGGUACCGUAAGAAGAAGCACCGGCUAACUACGUG
rnacentral:rRNA from 1 species